GACGUACGCUGGCGGCGUGCUUAACACAUGCAAGUCGAACGGAAAGGCCCUGCUUUUGUGGGGUGCUCGAGUGGCGAACGGGUGAGUAACACGUGAGUAACCUGCCCUUGACUUUGGGAUAACUUCAGGAAACUGGGGCUAAUACCGGAUAGGAGCUCCUGCUGCAUGGUGGGGGUUGGAAAGUUUCGGCGGUUGGGGAUGGACUCGCGGCUUAUCAGCUUGUUGGUGGGGUAGUGGCUUACUAAGGCUUUGACGGGUAGCCGGCCUGAGAGGGUGACCGGCCACAUUGGGACUGAGAUACGGCCCAGACUCCUACGGGAGGCAGCAGUGGGGAAUAUUGCACAAUGGGCGGAAGCCUGAUGCAGCAACGCCGCGUGCGGGAUGACGGCCUUCGGGUUGUAAACCGCUUUCGCCUGUGACGAAGCGUGAGUGACGGUAAUGGGUAAAGAAGCACCGGCUAACUACGUG
rnacentral:rRNA from 1 species